CAAUAAGUAAAGCUAGUCGGUGUACGGGUGCUACAUUCAAAUCAAUCUGUCGGAUUGGUGGAAGAUAAAUAACAAGCGAAGAAUUCAAGGUCAAGGACAUUGCAACAGAAAGUAUCAAAGCAAUGAUUCCAUGUUAGUACAAUACAGUAUUGUCUUCCUCUGUGUGUUUAAUGGGGAGUGUGAAGUAGAGCAUGUAAACAGGAGCUGGGCUUCAUUUGCAAUGAAAAGUUGCAUGAGUGACCCGGCGUGGGGGGAUCGGUGAAAAUGGGCGACAUCCGGAACCAAAAUGGUGGAAUUGUCCCUGCGUGAGUGCACCUAAGGUUAAGGUGACCAUCUCUCUCGUACACAGGGGCAGCAGGACCUCCGUUUCUUGGAUGGAAAUGACCUCGACGUGAGCAUUCAUCAAAAGAGUGGAUGUGUUUGCUCAGGACACAUGCAGUCCCAGAGCAUCCGAUUUCCAAGACUCUGAUGCCCAUUGACUUCAGUCAUGAAAGAGAUCGUCCGACAGCAACCCCCACCCCCUUUCGACAUAUACUUUACAAUCGUAAAACUUCACUCUUGCACCGUUGACCAAUAUUUUCCCAUGGGUGAGUGCCCUUAUUUUGGCCUUGAGCACCUGCCCUCUAAAAUCUCUGUGUAUGUCCCUGAAAAAAGUGUUGCUUUUCCCCCAAGGAACCAUGUUGAAGGGAGUUGAGGAGUUUCAUCUAGACAAAAGUACUGCUUUGCUUUCAUCAUGUGACAUCUCGGUGCAAGGAACUAUGUUGAAGUGAGUUGAGUAGUUUAAUUUCGACAAAAUUAGUGCUUUGCUACAAUCUUGGUGUCAAGGAACUAUAUUCAAGUGAGUUCAAAGGUUUCAGACAGAAGUAAAGUUUUUCCACAAUUUUGGUCCCAAGGAGGUCAAUACUGUAUAGUGAAGUGAGUUGAGUUUAAAUUUCUUUUUUUGGGAGCCAUAAAUUACUUGUGGAUUUACCCUCUUCUACACUAUUCUUGUGAACUAUCAACUAAUAUUGGAGCUGUUGUUUUAAGGUCAAACAAUAACACGAUGUUGCUUUAAAUCCACUUUCCCCGUUAAUUGCCACUGUUGCUCACCCACUUUAUUAUGAAGAAGCACUAAUGAUUAAUGUCAUCAAGAAAUGCAGAGAGAUGAGAUUUUUAACCCCUUGUUUUGUGUGAUCCUCACAUCACACGUUCGCCACUCUGUCAAUUAAAUGGUAAUAAUAAUAAUAAUGAUGAUAAUAUACAGUGCCGCAGGCCCCCAACUUACAAGUUACAAAAUACACGUCUUUUUUUUUUUUUUUGCUUUGACUUGUGAGCAAAAAUUUGUGAGCAUUGUAUAUUAGCACUAAACCCACUCAACUCACUCCACAAUGAGUGUCACUUGGCCUGAUAGUAAAAAAAUAUUCCCCCCCAAAAAAGCUUCAAGCUGCAACAACUACAUACUUUGCUAUAGUUAAGUCUGCUUAGGUAAAUACUAACAAAAUAGCAUUGCUGUUACAUUGUAAUACCCCUUUAAUGAUGGUAAUUUGAACAAAAACGAUGCAACAAAACACAAAGCCAAACAAUACAACAAAAUUCACAAGCAUAUUCUAUAUAUCAUCUCCGAAAUUGACCAAACCUACUGCCCCUAACUGAGGGCUGUUGCAGUUUUUCUAUCCGGUUGUCUGAAUUAUACUGCUCCCAGGUGGCAGUGGCACACAAAACAGGAGCAGCACAAUGUCCAUUAAAAAGAAGCAAAAAAAAAAUCUGCAAAAACUGCUUCAUUUCCUUCAUUCUAUUUAAUGACAUCUUUACUAUAUGAUUUUAUACAAUACAAUCUUGUAGAGUGCUGUUUUCAAUGAUUUAAAAAAAACCUGUGAAAUUUGUUGAACAACAACAAAACCACAUCAUUGAUGACACCGACGCAUUGAGCCACAUUAUCUGACAAUCUGCGCGAGUCAGCGCAAAAAGCUCGCGUUAAACCUGCUCAUCCUGUGCUCGAUUGUUGCUUGAGGGGCUGUUAGCACACAGGCGUCAGUGCGGGAGAAGAUAAGCGGUGUGUUCUCCUGGCGGGGGUAAUUGUUGUACUGCACAAAUACACGCACGGAGAAACUUGUCCAAUAAGCAGGAAGCAUGCCGAAUGAUGACUAAUGUGAAGUUAGGUCACUGCAACUAGUUAUUCCUAAUCUCAAAUCUUAAUUCCCACACAGCCUUAUACUGUAUUCUACAUUUUGAUAUUUUGCUGUAUUUACGCUAUAAUUAAAACCAGUUGGACCAUAAAGUCAUUAAUAGGGAAGGAUUAUU